rnacentral:tRNA from 1 species
GAACCUGCUCCCUAAAGUAGGGGUUCCUAGCUGAUAAUUAGGUUGCUGAAGGUUAAACUCCUUCCAGGUUUU